CUGCAGGCUCUGGAGAAAAUGGUCCCAAAGAGUGGGACAGGUAAAGGGCUGUGGAAUUUUGAUCAACUUAGAACUGAUCUCUUAAACUUUCUCUUUAAGUCACCAAACAUUUACCAAAUUCCUUUAGGCGAGGCCUCUAAUGAUUUACUUCCUUUGCCUGUCCCAGGGAAGGCAUGAUAACUAUUUAUUGACUACUCUGGCACCCCUUACCGUAUUUACAAAACACUGUGCUUCAGCUGAAGUUAGGGAGGGACAUAUUUGGAGAAACUAUUGUGUUCACCACAUCUCUGUACUAGAAAGAUCUGACUUGAGGUUUUAAAAUUGUGUUUCCUAAGUAUUUGCCUUGACCUUUUGUGUCUGACUUUCUCUCUCUCUCUCUCUCUCUCUCUCUGUCAUUUGUUCAUUCCUACUCAUGCAAACCAUUUCUCCUCCUCCACUAUCAGUCAGGUGGCUUGGCCUAAUGGACUAUCUUUCUCUAAUAGGAACACAGCAGUUUGCAAAGCUUGCCUUGCGAGAGCUUCCCUUCACUCUCUACAUGUGGCACGUGUACGUGAGGGCAGUCACACCCUCACAGGCCUGCAGGCUGAAAAGAAGCUUCUAAAAGUGGGAAGUGUGGAGUGAACAGCUGUGCUGUGCUCCAGCUGUUCCCACAUUGUGGAUGGCACUCUCAAAGGACAAGGCACAAUGGCUGUAGUCCAUAUAUGAUGCAUAUAUUACAC
rnacentral:lncRNA from 1 species